GAACGCUGGCGGCGUGCCUAAUACAUGCAAGUCGAGCGAAUGAUUAGAGAAGCUUGCUUCUCUCUGAUUAGCGGCGGACGGGUGAGUAACACGUGGGUAACCUACCCUAUAGACUGGGAUAACUUCGGGAAACCGGAGCUAAUACCGGAUAAUACUUCGAAACACAUGUUUUGAAGUUGAAAGAUGGUUUCGGCUAUCACUAUAGGAUGGACCCGCGGCGCAUUAGCUAGUUGGUGAGGUAACGGCUCACCAAGGCAACGAUGCGUAGCCGACCUGAGAGGGUGAUCGGCCACACUGGGACUGAGACACGGCCCAGACUCCUACGGGAGGCAGCAGUAGGGAAUCUUCCACAAUGGACGAAAGUCUGAUGGAGCAACGCCGCCGUGAGUGAAGAAGGAUUUCGGUUCGUAAAACUCUGUUGCAAGGGAAGAACAAGUAGCGUAGUAACUGGCGCUACCUUGACGGUACCUUGUUAGAAAGCCACGGCUAACUACGUGCCAGCCGCCGC
rnacentral:rRNA from 1 species